UUUGGUUAAGUUAGAAAGGGCGCACGGUGGAUGCCUUGACACUAGGAGUCGAUGAAGGACGGGACUAACGCCGAUAUGCUUCGGGGAGCUGUAAGUAAGCUUUGAUCCGAAGAUUUCCGAAUGGGGAAACCCACCAUACGUAAUGGUAUGGUAUCCUUACCUGAAUACAUAGGGUAAGGAAGACAGACCCAGGGAACUGAAACAUCUAAGUACCUGGAGGAAGAAAAGCAAAUGCGAUUUCCUGAGUAGCGGCGAGCGAAACGGAACAUAGCCCAAACCAAGAGGCUUGCCUCUUGGGGUUGUAGGACAUUCUAUACGGAGUUACAAAGGAACGAGGUAGACGAAGCGACCUGGAAAGGUCCGUCGUAGAGGGUAACAACCCCGUAGUCGAAACUUCGUUCUCUCUUGAAUGUAUCCUGAGUACGGCGGAACACGUGAAAUUCCGUCGGAAUCUGGGAGGACCAUCUCCCAAGGCUAAAUACUCCCUAGUGAUCGAUAGUGAACCAGUACCGUGAGGGAAAGGUGAAAAGCACCCCGGAAGGGGAGUGAAAGAGAUCCUGAAACCGUGUGCCUACAAAUAGUCAGAGCCCGUUAACGGGUGAUGGCGUGCCUUUUGUAGAAUGAACCGGCGAGUUACGAUCCCGUGCGAGGUUAAGCUGAAGAGGCGGAGCCGCAGCGAAAGCGAGUCUGAAUAGGGCGUUUAGUACGUGGUCGUAGACCCGAAACCAGGUGAUCUACCCAUGUCCAGGGUGAAGUUCAGGUAACACUGAAUGGAGGCCCGAACCCACGCACGUUGAAAAGUGCGGGGAUGAGGUGUGGGUAGCGGAGAAAUUCCAAUCGAACCUGGAGAUAGCUGGUUCUCCCCGAAAUAGCUUUAGGGCUAGCCUUAAGUGUAAGAGUCUUGGAGGUAGAGCACUGAUUGGACUAGGGGUCCUCAUCGGAUUACCGAAUUCAGUCAAACUCCGAAUGCCAAUGACUUAUCCUUAGGAGUCAGACUGCGAGUGAUAAGAUCCGUAGUCAAAAGGGAAACAGCCCAGACCGCCAGCUAAGGUCCCAAAGUGUGUAUUAAGUGGAAAAGGAUGUGGAGUUGCUUAGACAACUAGGAUGUUGGCUUAGAAGCAGCCACCAUUUAAAGAGUGCGUAAUAGCUCACUAGUCGAGUGACUCUGCGCCGAAAAUGUACCGGGGCUAAAUACACCACCGAAGCUGCGGAUUGAUACCGAAUGUAUCAGUGGUAGGGAGCGUUCUAAGGACAGUGAAGUCAGACCGGAAGGACUGGUGGAGUGCUUAGAAGUGAGAAUGCCGGUAUGAGUAGCGAAAGACGGGUGAGAAUCCCGUCCACCGAAUGCCUAAGGUUUCCUGAGGAAGGCUCGUCCGCUCAGGGUUAGUCAGGACCUAAGCCGAGGCCGACAGGCGUAGGCGAUGGACAACAGGUUGAUAUUCCUGUACCACCUCUUUAUCGUUUGAGCAAUGGAGGGACGCAGAAGGAUAGAAGAAGCGUGCGAUUGGUUGUGCACGUCCAAGCAGUUAGGCUGAUAAGUAGGCAAAUCCGCUUAUCAUAAAGGCUGAGCUGUGAUGGGGAAGCUCCUUAUGGAGCGAAGUUUGAUUCCCCGCUGCCAAGAAAAGCUUCUAGCGAGAUAAAAGGUGCCUGUACCGCAAACCGACACAGGUAGGCGAGGAGAGAAUCCUAAGGUGUGCGAGAGAACUCUGGUUAAGGAACUCGGCAAAAUGACCCCGUAACUUCGGGAGAAGGGGUGCUUUCUUAACGGAAAGCCGCAGUGAAUAGGCCCAAGCGACUGUUUAGCAAAAACACAGCUCUCUGCGAAGCCGUAAGGCGAAGUAUAGGGGGUGACACCUGCCCGGUGCUGGAAGGUUAAGGAGAGGGUUAGCGUAAGCGAAGCUCUGAACUGAAGCCCCAGUAAACGGCGGCCGUAACUAUAACGGUCCUAAGGUAGCGAAAUUCCUUGUCGGGUAAGUUCCGACCCGCACGAAAGGUGUAACGAUUUGGGCACUGUCUCAACCAGAGACUCGGUGAAAUUAUAGUACCUGUGAAGAUGCAGGUUACCCGCGACAGGACGGAAAGACCCCGUGGAGCUUUACUGUAGCCUGAUAUUGAAUUUUGGUACAGUUUGUACAGGAUAGGCGGGAGCCAUUGAAACCGGAGCGCUAGCUUCGGUGGAGGCGCUGGUGGGAUACCGCCCUGACUGUAUUGAAAUUCUAACCUACGGGUCUUAUCGACCCGGGAGACAGUGUCAGGUGGGCAGUUUGACUGGGGCGGUCGCCUCCUAAAGUGUAACGGAGGCGCCCAAAGGUUCCCUCAGAAUGGUUGGAAAUCAUUCGUAGAGUGCAAAGGCAUAAGGGAGCUUGACUGCGAGACCUACAAGUCGAGCAGGGACGAAAGUCGGGCUUAGUGAUCCGGUGGUUCCGCAUGGAAGGGCCAUCGCUCAACGGAUAAAAGCUACCCCGGGGAUAACAGGCUUAUCUCCCCCAAGAGUCCACAUCGACGGGGAGGUUUGGCACCUCGAUGUCGGCUCAUCGCAUCCUGGGGCUGUAGUCGGUCCCAAGGGUUGGGCUGUUCGCCCAUUAAAGCGGUACGCGAGCUGGGUUCAGAACGUCGUGAGACAGUUCGGUCCCUAUCCGUCGUGGGCGUAGGAAAUUUGAGAGGAGCUGUCCUUAGUACGAGAGGACCGGGAUGGACGCACCGCUGGUGUACCAGUUGUUCUGCCAAGGGCAUAGCUGGGUAGCUAUGUGCGGAAGGGAUAAGUGCUGAAAGCAUCUAAGCAUGAAGCCCCCCUCAAGAUGAGAUUUCCCAUAGCGUAAGCUAGUAAGAUCCCUGAAAGAUGAUCAGGUUGAUAGGUUCGAGGUGGAAGCAUGGUGACAUGUGGAGCUGACGAAUACUAAUAGAUCGAGGACUUAACCAUAUAA
rnacentral:rRNA from 1 species